GCCGGGGGCGGGGCGCUGGGGUGCGGCGCCUCCCCGUGGUGCCCUCGCGCCGCGCCCGGGCCGGGCUCCUUCUCGCGGCUCCGGGGCCGGCACCUCCGGGGCGCUCGGUCCAACAGCCCCCCACCCCCACCCCGGGGCAGAGCGGAGAAGGGAGCUUAGCGACACCCAGGCCAGAUGUAGGGAAACCGAGGCCUGGGAAGCAGAGGUGAGCUGCCCCAAGUCACACAGAAGGUCAGCGACACACCCGUGAGAAUGUUUCUUCAUUCUGUUUUCGGAUUAUUUCCGGAAAGUGUUGGGUUAUGGGGCGCCGUGUUGCCCUGGGCUCCUGGUGCGAUGCGGUCCAGGCCUUGACAAGAGAUGCAGAGAGAGAGAGAGAGGCAGAGACACAGGCAGAGGGAGAAGCAGGCUCCACGCAGGGAGCCCGACGUGGGAUUCGAUCUCGGGUCUCCAGGAUCGCACCCUGGGCCUGAAGGAUGUGAAGGCAGAAAAACACAGGCCCAAGAUGGAGUCACUUACGCUAAGCCAAGUCACCAAACUCAGCCUUAAACCUAACCUAAUUGCAGUUUCCCUCCAGAUAUGUGGUCUUCACUGGUCAAUCAGGAAUUUCCCGGUCAGCACCAGUGAGGAAAUCUGUCAUGGGGGUCCUCUCUGUCCCUCAAAGGAAGAUGAGGACGAGCAAGGAGGUGCAGGGAGCAACUGGAGCUGGAGAGCAUUCCUGGAGGACAGAGAGCCCAUAAGGCCAAUGUGGUUGACCUGAGCAGGGGCUGAAGACACAGUGGACAGGAUGAUGAGGUCAGAGGCAGGCAGAGAUCAGAUCUCGUGAGGUCUCAUGGGUCGCUGUGAGGAGUUUGGACUUCAUCUCAAGGACCAUGGAAAGCCAGGGAAGGAUUUGAAGACAGGCAAUGACCUGAUCUGACCUUUGUUUUUUUAAUAGACCUCUCUGGCUGGCUGAGAAGAAUAGGUCAAGGGGGCCCAGGAGGCAGGGCGGUGGGGAAUGGUGGAGUGGCCGUGGAAGUGGGGAGAAGUAGUCAGAUUUGGGAUAUAUUCUGGAAAACGGGCAGACAGGAAUUGCUGAUGGGGAGGAAGAUUCAAAGAAGGCCGUGGGGUGACUGCUGAUGAGUCAGCUCGUGUCCUGAGCAGUGGAGGCUUCCACGACCAGAAUCACUGACUGUCCUUUUGGCUGAGCUGGACACAACCUGGAGACCUUCUAGUCUCCCUGGGAUUUUACACCCAUAGAGCCUCAGCCCAGGGGAGUGAGGCAACAUGCCCAUGUCCUGGGUAAAAGCAGAGGUCCCCCCAGCUCCCAGUCUAGAACCUGCCUGACCACGGGCUUCAUUUAUUUCUCGGGCAAACCAGUGAAACUGGGUAAAGGAAAUCUCAUUUGAAAUGGAGUCGGAAGGCCAGAAGGGGAAGCUCUCACCCUCCACCACUCCUCAUCAGUUGCAGAAGCAAUAGAAAGAGACAAUACCUUGCAUUCCACACAGAGAGAAGCCUGGACUUUAUUUUCUCUGCAUGAGGAAGGAAGAUUUUCUCCUGGUCUGGCAACAGCCCAGCCAAUGAGAGACUGUCACAACUCAGCCAGUGAAAAGCCACUACACUUACAACUCCCAGUUUCCUCCAAUGGAAUUUUUUAUUAAUAACAGUCCUUCUUAACUCCCUGCCCUUUCCUCUUUGUUCUUCUUUGUUCACUGGACUUGCCUAUGGUUUUGCCAUAGCUUGCGUGUCCUGAGUUGCAAUCCUCUGCUAUUCCUGAAUAAACCUGUUUUGCUGGUAAAAUAACUGACAGCUUUGUUUACAGGAACACCAGGAACAGGCAUCUAGGUAACAGGUAACAGGUAGCAGGUAACAGCAAACAAGAUUAUCAAGUGAUAUCUAGGAAUGACCACAAUUCCAAGUGAUGGGGCAAUGGCCGAACCAAGUGUGCUUCAUAACGGAGGCACAAGGCAUACAAAUACUCAGGCUUUUGCAAUUUACGGAGAUGUGUGGAUGUAAUAGUGUGAUUUAUAAUAAGAAAUACGUGCAUUUUGGUUUUUAUCUGUGGUUCCUGGCUCACAGCUCCCCAAACCCAUAUACUUUCCUGAUUAGGGCAAUAGUGGCAUCUUUUGUUCUAAUAGUUGGCCUUUGUCCUCGGGUUUUGAAAUAGCUUCAGAGUAACGGGGAAAUGGGUUUCUCCUAUUAUUCAUAACAAGCCCCUUUCAACCACACCUGAAUGUAUGUUAAUGAAAUGAUUUUUGGAAAGUCUCUGGUUCACACAAAGAGGAAAGCUGAUUGCCAGAACCAGCCGAGUGAUUGGAGAGUUGGAACUUUAUUGCCCUUCCCCAUCCAGGGAGGGAAGAGGGGCUGGAGGCUGAA